rnacentral:rRNA from 1 species
UGGGUAGUCCGCACGAGCGCACCUUACUUUUAGUUGCUACCAUUUAGUUGGGCACUCUAAAAGAACUGCCAGUGAUAAGCUGGAGGAAGGUGGGGAUGACGUCAAGUCCUCAUGGCCCUUACGUGUUGGGCUACACACGUGCUACAAUGGUACCUACAAUGGGAAGCGAAGAGGCGACUCUAAGCAAAUCCCAAAAAGGUACCUCAGUUCGGAUUGCACUCUGCAACUCGAGUGCAUGAAGCUGGAAUUACUAGUAAUCGUGGAUCAGCGCGCCACGGUGAAUACGUUCCCGGGUCUUGUACACACCGCCCGUCACACCAUGGAAGUUGGUUACACCUUAAGGCAAAGCGUAAAACCUUUGACUACGGUACGAUCAGCGACUGGGGUGAAGUCGUAACAAGGUAGCCGUAGGGGAACCUGCGGCUGGAUCACCUCCUUUCU